rnacentral:lncRNA from 1 species
UGGAACUCCAUAUGUAAAAAAUUGACCAAGGGAUGAGUAGAACCAAAACACAAGUAGUUGGACGGGGUAUCUUGAAUUUAUUUUAUUUUUUUAGAAAACUGUCAUCAUUCUGCAUGUAAAAUUACAACUAAAAAAGAGUUGCUUAGUUUGGUGACGUUUAGCAUGUUGCUAGUGAAUGAACAUUGAAUUCAGAGGCAGAAAUGGUUGGGGAAAGGUAAGUUGAAGUUCAUAAAAGGCCUACCUUUCUUGAGAGCAGAAACAAAUCAAACCCCCCCUGGCUUUGGAUUUGAUCCUUUGGGGGUGUAUGAGGUUUGAAUCGAGUGAACCCAGUUGAAAAUUAAGCGCUCUAAAUGCUCCUAAACUAGAAAACAACAAAAUCAACUAAUUUAGAGAGGAACAGUGUGACUAACUUUAAAAUGAAGUAAACUUGGUUCAAACAGGACCUCCACUUCACAAGCAUUACCAAACAUUUGAAAUGACACAAAACCAAUUCAAGAGUAGUAGCUUCAUUUACAAACUCUACUUUUUAUCCACUCAUAGAAAUUCCCCAAAAGAAAAGAAAGUAAAAUGAACAUGAAACCCACAAAACAAAACCAUUUUCUUACAAAAAACUCUUUCAAGAAAUGUUUUGUCCCGGUCUUGUGUCACUCUGUGUCUAAGGCCAUUUAUGAAGAAAGACAAGUCCGGGAGUGUAGUGGAACAGAAGGCCAAGACAAAUUAGUGACACGGGUUGAGAUAGCGAGAGAGUCUGAGCCACAAAUUGAAGUCCUCCCUCAUUAUUCAGUAGUAGGAACUAACUAGGAGGGGUAUGUGUGAGUCUUGUUAAAUGUACAUUUGGAGGUUUGAGACUUUUUGAGACUCAAAAAGCUAAAAGAGAAAC